rnacentral:rRNA from 1 species
UACAGAGACUGCGAGCGUUAUUCGGAUUCACUGGGCGUAAAGGGUGCGCAGGCGGCCGAGUGUGUGAGGCGUGAAAGCCCGGGGCUUAACCCCGGAAUUGCACCUCAAACUACACGGCUAGAGCAUUGGAGAGGGUAGCGGAAUUCACGGUGUAGCAGUGAAAUGCGUAGAUAUCGUGAGGAACAACAGAGGCGAAGGCGGCUACCUGGACAAUUGCUGACGCUCAGGCACGAAAGCGUGGGGAGCAAAAGGG